UCCGUAGGCGGCCGAGUUAGUCGAUUGUGAAAGCUUCAGGCUCAACUUGAAAACUGCGAUCGAUACUGCUCGGCUUGAGGGCAGGAGAGGCAAGUGGAACGUUGCAAGUAGCGGUGAAAUGCAUUGAUAUGCAACGGAACACCGAUGGCGAAGGCAGCUUGCUGGACUGUUCCUGACGCUGAGGGACGAAAGCCAGGGGAGCGAACG
rnacentral:rRNA from 1 species